AUAGCGUAUAUUAAAGUUGUUGCGUUUAAAAAGCUCGUAGUUGGAUCUGCGGCCUAGGAUAGCGGUCCCCCAAUGGGUGGUCACUGCUUUUCCUGGCCUAAUAUCUCCGGUUUUCCCUUGCUGCUCUUCACUGAGUGGCUUGGGUGGCUGGAAAAUUUACUUUGAAAAAAUUAGAGUGCUUAAAGCAGGCGCAAGCCUGAAUAGUGGUGCAUGGAAUAAUGGAAUAGGACCUCGGUUCUAUUUUGUUGGUUUUCGGAGCUCGAGGUAAUGAUUAAGAGGGACAGACGGGGGCAUUAGUAUUGCGACGUUAGAGGUGAAAUUCUUGGAUCGUCGCAAGACUAACUACUG
rnacentral:rRNA from 2 species